GACGAACGCUGGCGGCGUGCUUAACACAUGCAAGUCGAACGGAAAGGCCCUGCUUUUGUGGGGUGCUCGAGUGGCGAACGGGUGAGUAACACGUGAGUAACCUGCCCUUGACUUUGGGAUAACUUCAGGAAACUGGGGCUAAUACCGGAUAGGAGCUCCUGCUGCAUGGUGGGGGUUGGAAAGUUUCGGCGGUUGGGGAUGGACUCGCGGCUUAUCAGCUUGUUGGUGGGGUAGUGGCUUACCAAGGCUUUGACGGGUAGCCGGCCUGAGAGGGUGACCGGCCACAUUGGGACUGAGAUACGGCGCAGACUCCUACGGGAGGCAGCAGGGGGGAAUAUUGCACAAUGGGCGGAAGCCUGAUGCAGCAACGCCGCGUGCGGGAUGACGGCCUUCGGGUUGUAAACUGCUUUCGCCUGUGACGAAGCGUGAGUGACGGUAAUGGGUAAAGAAGCACCGGCUAACUACGUG
rnacentral:rRNA from 1 species